AUGCUCACUUUGGCAGCACAUAUAUUAAAAUUGGAACCACAUAGGGAAGAUUAGCAUGGCUGCUGCACAAAGAUGAUAUGCAAAUUCAUGAAGCAUUCCAUAUCUUA
rnacentral:snRNA from 1 species